rnacentral:rRNA from 1 species
UCGAGCGGCAGGGCAGCAAUGCCCCUAGAGCGGCGGACUGGUGAGUAACGCGUGGGUGAUCUACCUUGGGCAUGGGGAUAGUCAUUAGAAAUAGUGGGUAAUACCGAAUACGUUCGUUACCGUGAGGGUAACGAGGAAAGGCGCUACGGCGCCGGCCUGGAGAUGAGCUUGCGUCUGAUUAGCUAGUUGGUGAGGUAAUGGCUCACCAAGGCGAUGAUCGGUAGCCGGCCUGAGAGGGUGUACGGCCACACUGGGACUGAGAUACGGCCCAGACUCCUACGGGAGGCAGCAGCUAAGAAUAUUCCGCAAUGGACGAAAGUCUGACGGAGCGACGCCGCGUGGAUGAUGAAGGCCGAAAGGUUGUAAAGUCCUUUUGCUGGGGAGGAAUAAGCGUGGGAGGGAAUGCCCGCGUGAUGACAUGAACCGGCGAAUAAGCCCCGGCUAACUACGUGCCAGCAGCCGCGGUAACACGUAGGGGGCGAGCGUUGUUCGGAAUUACUGGGCGUAAAGGGCAUGUAGGCGGCUUUGUAAGCUUGGCGUGAAAUUCCACGGCUUAACCGUGGGAAUGCGUUGAGAACUGCGAGGCUUGAGUGACGGAGAGGGAGCUAGAAUUCCUGGUGUAGGGGUGGAAUCUGUAGAGAUCAGGAAGAAUACCAAUGGCGAAGGCAGCCCCCUGGGCCAAUACUGACGCUCAUG